rnacentral:rRNA from 1 species
UACGAAGGGGGCUAGCGUUGUUCGGAAUUACUGGGCGUAAAGCGCGUGUAGGCGGGUCUUUAAGUCAGGGGUGAAAUGCCAAGGCUCAACCUUGGAACUGCCUUUGAUACUGGAGACCUUGAGUCCGGGAGAGGUGAGUGGAAUUGCGAGUGUAGAGGUGAAAUUCGUAGAUAUCAGGAGGAACACCAGUGGCGAAGGCGGCUUUCUGGACGGUAACUGACGCUGAGACGCGAAAGCGUGGGGAGCAAACAGG